CUCAAAGGGAGCAUGCUGACCUCCAAACCUGCAGUACUGUCAUCCUGACCCUGUGGUCCUACUCACCUGAGAUAGCAAAUUACCAUCUUGAGGUGACUACGAAAGAGAAAAAGUAGGUUAGUCCAGCCUAUAUGUUACAAGCAGAAGAGCCUGGCCGAAAGUCAGUCCGUCUCCCGUGAUGUCCGGGAAGCCGGUGCUAUCUGAAUAUUAACAGCAUUACAUGGAUAUUCAUCUCACGCUCCGAUAACAUUGUUAUCUCCCGAGCUCUUCUGCAGGAACAGGCACUCGCACUCCUGCUCAGCUUCGCACAUCAAAGGAAAAGGGACAAUGGAACAGCUUUGAAAACAUGCCACGGCCUGGCAGCAGUCCAGAGCUGCGGGCGGACAGACAGACAGACAGAGCGCUCUGUCCGUGGGGCAGCGGGCACGGCCCGGAGCCCGGCCGGGAGCAGCAGCCCCACAGCUCUGACUCUGCCCUGCGAAAGGAAACCUCCACUUUAAAACACCACCAAGGCCACACUUGCCCUGCUUCAUGCUGUCAUAGCAGAAGAGGAAAGGGGCACUGUCAGGAUGAGGGAAAAAAAAAAAAAUUAGACAAGGUCAGGAAGGAGGAAGGGAAAAAAAAAACCCACUUGGAAGUAAAAACAUGAUAUGGCAUCAGUGCGCUUGACUCUUUCUUUGACCUCAUGCUGACGCUCGUCUUGCACAAUUCAGGAGUGAAUGGAGCCACACACCUUCCCUCCCCCAGCAGGGACCCUGGCAGGGCAGGGAAAGAAGCCGGGAGCCGCCCUGCCUCCUGCUUCCAGCAGCUGCGGCAUGCAGUGCAGGCUCCCACGGGACGGGAGCGAGGGACAGCCACACAACAUUCCCCCAAACACCCGAGUGUAUGUUUGUACAUGCAGCUAUACACACCAUUAUUUGGAAAUUACUUUUGAAGACCUCUGAGCCGCCAGCACCACGAGUUCAUUCCUUCCGUGUGCUUUUAAACAGCUGCCAGAGGUCAGGAAUAUGGAGUUGAAAUAUGAAGUUCUCCUAUGUUAUUUCAGAAAGUCUCAUUUCACUUUUAGACAGGUUUUCAAAUGUUCAGCUAUGUUUUCUUUACACUGAAGUACGGUAUUUUUUACGUGUGUUAUGCCAGCAGACACAGAGACACAACUUUGAAGGCAAUAAAAUAUUCCAAAACAAAAUUGAAACAUUAAAUGAGAGCAACAUAACCACACCGUUUCCUGCUGCCUGCAUUUGUUUUCCUGAGAGCACCACUUCUCAGGUCCAGCUAAUCAGCAUUCAUCAGUAAAACAAGAUAUCAGGGAGCAGUGAGAGCCCUAGAGGUGUUUAUCUUCCUCUUCUCGGAAUCAUGAAGCU